CCAGUAAACCCUUCCUUAGAACCAUUAUUCUUCUUCAUCGCAACAAUCUUCUUCUUCUUCAAUGCAAACAAUCUUCUUUUUUUCACUGCAAUCAAUCGAAUUCUUUAUUGCACCUUCAUCACCUUCUAAACUAUCUCACGCGAAAUUCAACUUCUCUCUCACUCGAUUCAAUCGUUCAACACGAUCUCGAAUUCCCUCUCAAUCUCUCACAAUUGAACUCGUCCUCUCUCUCUCACUCGAAAUUUAACCAUCUCUCACGCUGAAACCCUAAGAUGCUCAAGCGAAAUUGAACAAUCUCUCACUCGAACUCGUCCUCUCUCUCUCACACUCGUUCUCUCGAACUCCUCAUCUCAGAUUCGCUCAAACUUCAUCGUCUUCUUCAGGUUCUCCAGAUUCGUUCAAGCUUCAGGUUCAACAUUCACUAAACUUGUGUUUUUUAACAUGAUUAAUGUUUGAGUUAAUUUGAUUUUGGAUUAAAAUUUGAAUGAGAAGUUAUUUUGUAGUUUGAGCCAAUUAGGAUUAGGAUUUUGAUUUUGUAGUUUGACCUAAUUAGGAUUUUGUUGUUUUAGGUUAUUUAAUGAACUUGUUGAUAUUUUGCUAUUAAGACACAAUCCUUGCCAAUCCUUGUUGAUAUUUUGUGAUUUGAUUUAAAAUGGUUCAAAUUUGGUUUUGGUGUUGGUUUUGUUCAUUUGGGUAUGUAUGUUUUUUCUCAGUAUUUGUAAAUGUUUGUGAUUUGGUAAAAUUGGAUUGUUUUAUGAUUUGUGACAAAGAUGUUUUGGUUGGUAUAAGUGCUUUUGCUUGAUUUCUACUUCUUUGUCUGCUCUCAAAAGGUGAGAAAGUGUUAUUUUAGAUUCUUUUUAUUUACUAGAUUCUUAAUAAAACAGUGUUCCUCUAUUUCUGUUUGGAUCCUUGAAACUAGUGGCAUAUACUUUCCCUUUUUUCCACAAUCUUAUUGACUUACCUUGUUUUUCAAAACCUCAUUUUCUAUUAAACCAUAUAGAAUAUUUGACAUAAUGUUGACUUACCUUGUUUCAUGCUUUCUAAUGCUGUGAUUUGUUAUGGUUUAGGCUCUAUAAACUUGAUUUGUUUUGUGGUUUUGGCCUUGAUUCAAAGUUUAUGUUGUUUGAUUAAUUUUUCAGGCAAGGAAAGCUCUUAGUGC
rnacentral:lncRNA from 1 species